AACGCACAUUGCGCCCGCCAGCACUCUGGCGGGCAUGCCUGUCCGAGCGUCAUUUCAACCCUCAGGCUACCUCUUCAUGGGCCUGGCGUUGGGGCUUUCUGCAGGGCCGUAAAGGCCAAGCAGGCCCUCAAGAUCAGUGGCGGGUUCGCCUGAACUCCGAGCGCAGUAAUAUCUCUCGCUCAGGGGGCUUCAGGUGGGUCUCCAGCCGUUAAACAACCAAUCUUUCAGAAGUUUGACCUCGGAUCAGGUAGGAAUACCCGCUGAACUUAA
rnacentral:misc_RNA from 1 species